rnacentral:rRNA from 1 species
UACAGAGGGGGCAAGCGUUGCUCGGAAUUACUGGGCGUAAAGGGCGCGUAGGCGGCCUUCUAAGUCGAACGUGAAAUCCCCGGGCUCAACCCGGGAACUGCGUCCGAUACUGGAAGGCUUGAAUCCGGGAGAGGGAUGCGGAAUUCCUGGUGUAGCGGUGAAAUGCGCGGAUAUCAGGAGGAACACCAGUGGCGAAGGCGGUGCUCUGGGCCGGAACUGACGCUGAGGAGCGAAAGCGUGGGGAGCAAACAGG